rnacentral:rRNA from 1 species
UACGUAGGGCGCAAGCGUUGUCCGGAAUUAUUGGGCGUAAAGAGCUCGUAGGCGGCUUGUCACGUCGGGUGUGAAAGCCCGGGGCUUAACCCCGGGUCUGCAUUCGAUACGGGCAGGCUAGAGUGUGGUAGGGGAGAUCGGAAUUCCUGGUGUAGCGGUGAAAUGCGCAGAUAUCAGGAGGAACACCGGUGGCGAAGGCGGAUCUCUGGGCCAUUACUGACGCUGAGUGAGCGAAAGCCAGGGGAGCAAACGGG